AGCAGGUUAUCAUAUUUAAUGAAUUAAGCUUAGAACUUAAAUAAGGUUGAAAAACCACUUGCCA
rnacentral:tRNA from 1 species